UGGACCGUAGUGAGACGCCCAAUAGCGAAAGCAUUGGCCAAGAAUGUCUUCAUUAAUCAAGAACGAAAGUCAGAGGUUCGAAGGCGAUUAGAUACCGCCCUAGUUCUGACCGUAAACGAUGCCAUCUCGCGAUUCGGAGGGUUCAUGCCCUACCGAGGAGCUACCCGGAAACGAAAGUCUUUCGGUUCCGGGGGUAGUAUGGUUGCAAAGCUGAAACUUAAAGAAAUUGACGGAAGGGCACCACAAGGCGUGGAGCUUGCGGCUUAAUUUGACUCAACACGGGAAAACUCACCCGGUCCGGACACUAUUAGGACUGACAGAUUGAAAGCUCUUUCUCGAUUUGGUGGUUGGUGGUGCAUGGCCGUUCUUAGUUGGUGGAGUGAUUUGUCUGGUUUAUUCCGAUAACGAGCGAGACUCUAGCCUGCUAAAUAGUCGACGAAUCUUCGGGUUCGUAUAACUUCUUAGAGGGAUAAGCGGUGUUUAGCCGCACGAGAUUGAGCGAUAACAGGUCUGUGAUGCCCUUAGAUGUCCGGGGCUGCACGCGUGCUACACUGGUGGAGUCAGCGGGUUUUUCCUAUGCCGAAAGGUAUCGGUAAACCGUUGAACUUCUUCCAUGUCCGGGAUAGGGUAUUGUAAUUAUUACCCUUAAACGAGGAAUGCCUAGUAAGUGUGAGUCAUCAGCUCACGUUGAUUACGUCCCUGCCCUUUGUACACACCGCCCGUCGCUAUCCGGGACUGAACUGAUUCGAGAAGAGUGGGGACUGUGGCUGCGAGGUUUUACCACUUCGCGGUUGCGGAAACCAUUUUUAUCGCAUUGGUUUGAACCGGGUAAAAGUCGUAACAAGGUAGCUGCAGGUGAACCUGCAGCUGGAUCAUCG
rnacentral:ncRNA from 1 species